rnacentral:rRNA from 1 species
CUACGGGGGGCAGCAGUGGGGAAUAUUGCACAAUGGGCGCAAGCCUGAUGCAGCCAUGCCGCGUGUAUGAAGAAGGCCUUCGGGUUGUAAAGUACUUUCAGCGGGGAGGAAGGGAGUAAAGUUAAUACCUUUGCUCAUUGACGUUACCCGCAGAAGAAGCACCGGCUAACUCCGUGCCAGCAGCCGCGGUAAUACGGAGGGUGCAAGCGUUAAUCGGAAUUACUGGGCGUAAAGCGCACGCAGGCGGUUUGUUAAGUCAGAUGUGAAAUCCCCGGGCUCAACCUGGGAACUGCAUCUGAUACUGGCAAGCUUGAGUCUCGUAGAGGGGGGUAGAAUUCCAGGUGUAGCGGUGAAAUGCGUAGAGAUCUGGAGGAAUACCGGUGGCGAAGGCGGCCCCCUGGACGAAGACUGACGCUCAGGUGCGAAAGCGUGGGGAGCAAACAGGAUUAGAUACCCUCGUAGUC